GCUCAGGAUGAACGCUGGCGGCGUGCCUAAUACAUGCAAGUCGAGCGAACAGAUAAGGAGCUUGCUCCUUUGACGUUAGCGGCGGACGGGUGAGUAACACGUGGAUAACCUACCUAUAAGACUGGGAUAACUUCGGGAAACCGGAGCUAAUACCGGAUAACAUAUUGAACCGCAUGGUUCAAUAGUGAAAGGCGGCUUUGCUGUCACUUAUAGAUGGAUCCGCGCCGUAUUAGCUAGUUGGUAAGGUAACGGCUUACCAAGGCAACGAUACGUAGCCGACCUGAGAGGGUGAUCGGCCACACUGGAACUGAGACACGGUCCAGACUCCUACGGGAGGCAGCAGUAGGGAAUCUUCCGCAAUGGGCGAAAGCCUGACGGAGCAACGCCGCGUGAGUGAUGAAGGUCUUCGGAUCGUAAAACUCUGUUAUCAGGGAAGAACAAAUGUGUAAGUAACUGUGCACAUCUUGACGGUACCUGAUCAGAAAGCCACGGCUAACUACGUGCCAG
rnacentral:rRNA from 1 species